CAACCCUUCACCCCAGCAAAAGAUGAGGCCUCAACGAUUUGGGCCAGUUGCUUUGUUCAUUAAAGAUGUUCCAGUGGCUUUGGAAAUCUAAAGCAUGUUUCUAACAUCUUCCUUUUAACUUCUCUCAUGAAUUUGUUUUCAAAUGUUGCAUAAAUAUUACAAAUUUAUUUGGAAAGCAACUGAUAUUCCAAACUAAGAGGUAAUUCAACCACUGUGGCACAGGCAUGCCAUCCAUAUGCUUACGUAAUGGAUGUGCGUAUGCACUGGAUUUGAUGUGCUCAGUGCAAAGCCUCUUUACUUGGUACAACACGUCUUCAUUGCUGUUCUGCAGACACUUCGUGGAUUUUUUUGGUCACUAAGUGAAUGGGAACAUUUCUGCAUGUUUUCAUGGUGCCUCGCUGGAUAAUUCCAGUGAUAAUUCUCCACAAAUCUGCCAGGUUUACAGAGCACAAGUUCUACACAUCACAAACCAAUAACCCAUAGUGUACUUUGCAUACUCAUGUAAGUAUUUAAAAAUAAGCUCUGUGACACAUACCCUUCUAGAAGCAUAGAGUGACUUAGGCUGGAGGGGACCUCAAAACCCACCCAGUUCCAACCCAGUGCCAUGGGCAGGACUGGACCCACCAGCUCAGCUGCCCAGGGCCUCAUCCAGCCUGGCUGUGAGCACCUCCAGGGAUGGGGCACCACAGCUGUGUGGAUGUUUUCAAACAACUCACCACCUUCUCAGAGUAAAAUUUCCCACUGACAUCUACUCUAAAUCUCUCUUCUUUUAGUUUAAAACCAUCCUCUUCCCCAUCUAUCUGUGUAAAAAGUUGAUUUCACUCCACUUAUAAGCUUCAUUAAGGCUGCUAUGAGGUCCUUCAAGAGCAUUCUCUUCUCCAGGCUGAACAAUCCCAGCUCCCUCAGACUGCCUUCAAAGGAGAGGUGCUCCAGCCCUCUGAGCACCCUCCUGUCCCUCCUCUGGACCGCUCCAACAUCUCCAAAUCUUUCCUGAGUUGGGGGCCCCAGACCUGGAUGCAGUACUCUAGAUGGGGCUUCACGAGGGCAGAGCAAAGAGGGACAACCUGCUCCCUCACCCUGCUGGCCAUCCCUUUUUUGAUGCAGCCCAACGGCUUAGGAACCAGUUACGUUCAGGUAUAGCAAUGGUUGCUUAGCCUGCUGUGAAAAAGCAUCUGUAUGUGUGUUUGUGAGUGUCCCCCAUGUUAUCUACUAACAGAUGAAGAUAGAUGAGGCGGGUUCUGGUCCCAGAAGCAUUCACUGUGUGACACGCUUGGCACCAGAGCCACGCAUUCUUUGACAGCAAGAGGGAUCCCUGCUCCAGGAUGGCUGCAAGGCAGCCCCAGAGCUCCGCUUCUUCUCAUGCACAGAAACAGCACACAUGAGGAAACGCACAGUGCUGCCUUCCACUACACAGCAGAAGAAACAGUGUGUUAUUAAGGAGAAAACACCUCCAACGUGAUCAUUGGCAUCACACUAGGGUGCUCAGGUUCCAGAAUGGAGCAGCGCAGAUGCUGUGGGCACUUUUGCAGUCGUGACACAGGAACACAACGCUGAAGGCGUUGAGUCCAUCUUGUCGCCCUUCCCCAGGCUUGAAUUGCAUCUGAAAUGGAUCUGAUGUUCACAUUUGGGAAUUGGGAAUGUGAUUUAAAUUACAGGAUAGAAAAUUACAGCAAGAACCACUGCAAAGAAGUGGGCCUGCCAGCUACAGGCUGCUGUGGGUAAGGUUCACCAGAAAGCUGACAGUGACAGAGAGGCAACAGUGAUGAGAUGGAGAUUUGGCAACUGUGAACCAGACACCAGAGUUAGCAAUAAAUUCAGAGCCAAAAUGCAGGUUUCACUGGUACUGUGUUCCUAUAAAUGUUUAAAAUAACCUUCAAACACUCAGCAGUCAUCACUUAAAGUACAGGUGAGGAAGAAAUGGUCUUAAUGUUUACAGACAUGGUAUCUAUCUACCAGCAUUCUGUGGUAUACCUAGCAAGGUACAUUGUAAUGUAAUAGCACCUAUCUCAUAUUGGUGGAUAAAAGAUGUUUGCGUUGCAUAAAAUAAUCCAAAAACAGAAGUAGCAAUGAUUAGCAAAGCAAAAUAAGGAUUCAAAUAAGAAAAAAAAAAAACAUCAGGCAAACCCCAAAUAUGGGAUACCUAAAAAAGGUGAUGCAUUACUGUCAGAUUCAUUACUUGUAAACUUCUUGUAAGAUGCAAUAUAUGUUGUAGCUUGGUACCAAAUUACUAAGGGUGAGCUCCUGUAGCUGGAAGACAGUAUUUACUAAUGAAGAGAGUGUUUAAGCAGUUGCCUGACUCACAGUGCUAAUUUUGUUACUGCGUUUGCACAGACACAAAGGUGAGCUAAGAAUCAAUGAACAGAAUCAUAGGAACAGGGACAUUCCGUAGCACUGAAAGCCUCUUGUAUUUUUAGGCUGGGAGUUCAGCAAGAAUAAAGCUAAGUACAGCUGCAAGACGAGUGGGAGUUGACAAAGCAAAGAGGAUAAGGGCAAUCUUUGAAACCUGAUUAAAGAGGUUGCUUCCACCACAGAGAGCUCAGGCUGGCAAUUCAGCAAGUAGAUCCAUUUCUUACUGCUGUCUCUGUGUAACUGUUCCAUCUGUAAAACAUUUAGACUUGAACAGAAACUAUAUUUCUUCAUUAGAGAAAUAAACAAAGCAUGACGCUGCAUGCCAAAUGGUUUUGGUCAGUUUUGUAUUAAAAACAUAUGAAAGGUGUAAUACACAUCUUAAACCAAACCACAUUUAUUUCAUCAGUCACAAGUGCAAAUACAGCAACAAGUCAGUUCAGCAAAUUACAACACUGAAAGGAAUGUAA